GAUGAACGCUAGCUACAGGCUUAACACAUGCAAGUCGAGGGGAAACGGCAUUAAGUGCUUGCACUUUUUGGACGUCGACCGGCGCACGGGUGAGUAACGCGUAUCCAACCUUCCCAUGACUAAGGGAUAACCUGCCGAAAGGCAGACUAAUACCUUAUGGUCUUCACUGACGGCAUCAGAUGUGAAGUAAAGAUUUAUCGGUUAUGGAUGGGGAUGCGUCUGAUUAGCUUGUUGGCGGGGUAACGGCCCACCAAGGCAACGAUCAGUAGGGGUUCUGAGAGGAAGGUCCCCCACAUUGGAACUGAGACACGGUCCAAACUCCUACUGGAGGCAGCAGUGAGGAAUAUUGGUCAAUGGGCGAGAGCCUGAACCAGCCAAGUAGCGUGCAGGAUGACGGCCCUAUGGGUUGUAAACUGCUUUUGUAUGGGGAUAAAGUCAAUCACGUGUGAUUGUUUGCAGGUACCAUACGAAUAAGGACCGGCUAAUUCCGUG
rnacentral:rRNA from 1 species